rnacentral:misc_RNA from 1 species
CAGGCUCUGGGGGGUGAGCACAGCUCUAGUGAUUUGCUUCCGGUUCAAAUGGUUAAGCUUGAAGAAGGGGAGUUGACUUGGUUUGCUGAUAAAGCCGCGCUUUCGAAGCUGCAGGAUAAAGCGAGCCUGUGAUCACUAUAGGUUGAAUGGUCUCUGGUUAUGUCUCUGAGGACCAGUACCAUCGAUGGUUUGUAUUAUGUAGUUAUAGUUGUGGGCUAUUCUCAAG